ensembl:lncRNA
CCAUUCGCACUCCAGCUGUGACACGCCUGAACCGCGUCGCGUGGGAGUGAUCGAUAACCUCGCCGUGCUGGGGGACGUCGGAGAAGCUGAUUGGACGGCUGGGUAAUUGAGUUCACGUAAAGGACUCGUUGUUGGGUCAUGGCGGCUGCUGGCUGUGCUACAUCCUUCCGUCCGUCCGUCCAUGGGGAGCGGCCAAUGGCAGAGGAAACACGACCAAGAACUGGUGAGACGUGGACACGCCCAUCUGUGGAGGCCCCACGUUCCAUCGGCUCACCAUCCAACCCGCGCUGACCACCACGACCGUUCCGCACGGACCACCGGCUGCAAAUUGUCCUUCGUAAUGGCAGCUUUGAAGUCAAAGGAAUGAUCAUAUCAGCGCGCGAGUAUUAAAGUUCCCCUGAAGGAACCCUCCUGUUUUAUCCCUUUUAUGGCCGCUGUCUUUUUACAGAUUUGACCGCCUUUCUGGAGCGAGUAACACCAAAGUUAAUGGCGA